rnacentral:rRNA from 1 species
UCCUACGGGAGGCAGCAGUGGGGAAUUUUGGACAAUGGGCGCAAGCCUGAUCCAGCAAUGCCGCGUGAGUGAAGAAGGCCUUCGGGUUGUAAAGCUCUUUUGUCAGGGAAGAAACGGUGGGAGCUAAUAUCUCCUACUAAUGACGGUACCUGGAGAAUAAGCACCGGCUAACUACGUGCCAGCAGCCGCGGUAA